UGUCUUCCUGGAUGCUGAGGGGUCAUUCCUGGUCUCCCUGCUCCUGCUGCUCCCAAAAUCCACCUGGUCCCAGUGUUGCUCCUUGGACAUCGUCUAUCCUUGUUCUCCGGCUUCUAAGAUCACUGAGAAGUGUCCUUUCCUAAUCUUAAUCACAAUGGAGUUCACAGAGCCUCUCCGCUUUAAGCCAUUGCCUCCGUCCCACACGUUCUGCUCCCCUCUGAAUCCCAGCAACUCCACAGAACCCUGCCAAGUCCUUUUUUUAGGAAUGUCACUUCACAGAACCACCUACGCUGAAAACGAUGGCCCAGAAGGACGGGAAAUAGAGGGCAGCCGAGAGUUCCUUCCCUGGAGGCCUUUCUCAUCAGUGAGCUGCAGGUUGGGCUCGCAGCAGAACGUGUGACAAAAGUGAAGGGAAACAGCAGGGCCUGUUCCGCAUUCCAGCUGUUCCGGCAGGGUGCCCUGGCAGCAGGAACCAGCAACCUGGAGUGAACGAGGGCGGCCGAGGCCGGCGGAGAAGAGCUGGCUCUCAAAGUGUUGGAUCUUGCCCACCCACACUGGGGAGCUGAGUCUGCUGAUUCAAAUACUGAUCUUAUCUGGAAACACCCCCCAGAGACAUACCCGGAAAUCAUGUGUAACCAGAUAAUCUGAGCAUCCCUUCCUUCGCCCAGUCGAGUUGACACAGAAAUUAACCAUCCCACCUAGGUAAUGUUAAAUUCAAUAACCUAGUUCAAUAGUCUUUCAGAUUUAUUAAACACGUUGGCAUUUUAAAGCUGUAGAUUGAAAUUAUAGAAUAACAUUUCCUAGAGCAUUCCUAUAGCUAAGAAAAUGAGUUUUAUCAAGUUGGAAAGGUAGAAAAAAAUUAUCAAAUUUAAGACUCAUUCGAUAAAUGACUAAGGUGUGUUCUGUAUCAUAAAGGACAGCCUUUGAGUUGUCUUAAUACAGCAUAGCAUAUACACAUGUAAGGCGUGUGCCCAUACAGACAAGGAGGAGAGUAUGCCUACUGCUAAUACACUAUCUUGCAAGAAACUCACUCUUCAUUUAAGAUGAAGUUUGAGUUUAUAGAUUUCAAAUGUUUAUGGCCAAAUGGGAUAAGUGAGCAAGAGUGAGGUAUGAAGGAACUGCAGAGAAGAUUUCGGAAACUAGAAGAGAUCUGGGAAUUCUUGAAUUUCAGAAUUAAUAAGAAUUGAAAGCAGAGAAAAUUGUAUGAUGCCUAUUUAUGUAACAAAUUAUGAGUAUUACCUAUGAUCUGAGUUUAUGUAUAUCCUGCCUCUCCCCACCCCCAUACAUGAAACUAAAUGAGGCAAGAUUACCUUCGGCAGAUAAGAAAGUUACUAGUAUUUAAUGUGGCAGUUAUUUAUAUGUAAAGAGGUGCUAAUAUAUACAACCCAUCAUGACUUGUAACAUUAAUUUAGUGGGUCAAGCAGUUUGGAAAUAAAAUAGAACAGAAAUUAUCACAGUGUGGUGCACGUGGUAAGAGUUAGUUUUGUUUUGUGAAAGUUUUAUUUCUGUGAAAUG